CGACCAAGUUCAUCAAAACCCUAGUUCAGCAUAAAAUCUCUAAAUUGAAGGAUCAAACUCAGUCCAAAUCAAAAUCCGAACAUAGAUUAGUGAUCCUCAUCACAAGGGGGUUACAAGGCAAAGAAUCCGGAUCGUCAAGCGGACAAGCCGGAGCGGAUACGCGUUUGAAGGGUGUGCUCUAAAGGUAACAAGAUGGAUCUUACGGAUGGCGAUCAAGCACAUGAUGAAGAACCGAACACUACAUUUUGAAGCUUCCGCAAUGUUUUAAAUCUUUAGUAGUAUUAUGUAUGGGUUGUAAACAUUAUUAAACUACUUUUGAAAUGUU